AAUUGCUUACUUGUGUUAGUUUUUAGGUACGGUAAUUGCUUAUUAAUGGACAAGGGAUUGAACCUCGCCUACUCUCUAACACGUCAGUAGUUUUACAUUUUUCCAGAGCAUUUGUCACUUUAGUUACAAAAUAACUAUUAAAUCUAUAAUUUUUCUAGUUUCUAUUAAUUAUUUUAUUUACUUUUUAUCCCAUAACGCAUAAAAAGAAAAAAAAAAAUCCAUUAUAUAUAUAAUACCUACCUGCAACACUCAUGCUAUUUAUAUCUGUAAAACUUAGCUUUUUCUCAUCGUUUAUACCAUUAGGUGUUUACUAUUUUGCACUUGUAUCGUCUGUUAGAGUUAGGUAUCAAGUGUUGUUUGUUUAAACUAUAGCAAAUUUAAACUUAGAGGCCGUUACUUUAAGUAAAUUCCAUAAGCUUUAGGCGAGGGUAUAAACCCUUUAUCGUUACUCAUGUCAGCAUUAUCACUUGGGUAAUCUAAUCUUAAGUCUUAAAAAGAAAAAAUCUGAGAUAUGCCCAAUGUUCCGCUACCCCAUAUAUAUUCUAUGUAACUUGUACAUAAAAAUAUUUAUGGACAAGGUCUCGGUAUAUUAUUUAGAUCCGUUAAAUUUUAGGUGCAUCUAACAAUACAUACAAAAUUGUAUAAAACCAGUGCUCUGUUACGAGGUCUUUAAAAAAUGGCCGCUCCUAAGCCCAUUUCCUGGUUGGCUUGGAUAAACACUACCUUAUUUUCACUUAACAAUAAUUUUGGAACCUUUGAAGCCU
rnacentral:rRNA from 1 species